UUUAAACGUUCAUCAUGUGGCAGAGUGUUUCACUCAUGGAUAACAACGAAAAGUGCCGAUAUCGAUUCAUUUGUUUCAUCUUUUUUUAUUGCCUUAUCUUAUUGCCAUUUAAUUGUUUUGUGAUGUAUCAGUUGAUACAAAUUAGCUUUUGUAUUGAAUGUUAUAUGACCGACUAUUGCACGAUGGAAAAAUUUAUUGUACGAAACAACCAUUGAUCAACUGUAACAAAAUAAUGUUGGACUGCAGAGAGUUAACUGACUAUAUAUUUCCUCGAUAUUGUAUUAAAAGUUUUUAGAUUAUUCGACAAUUAUUUAUUUGGUGCAUCUAUCUGUUUCAAAGUAAAACCACAACACUCUGAUGGAAACCCACAAACUACGCAGAUACAUUUAUUCGGAAAAUAUAACGGAAAAUAUGAACUUCAGCAAAAGUUCGCAUAUAUAAAAGUUAUAAUUACAUCAAUAAUAAAACCAAAUUUGCAAUCUCUCUAUUUUGAUGAUUUGAUGCGGAUCAUUUAUCAGUUACCUCAAUGCGACAUUUUGACGAAAGAAGACGAAAAAUUGGCAAUAAAAUAAAGAACUGUUGCAUGUAUGUAUCACCUAUAUUUCAGCUCUUGUCGUCAAUUAAUACAACAAAAUUGUACUUUAUCACUCUCCACCAUAUGUUCUCGUUUAACUUUUUUAGUUUCUUCUAGUUCUAAAUUGUAAUGAUAAUAGAACAAUAAUAAUAGGUCAAU